CGAAUUAAUUGAUCAAAGUAAUAGAACAUGGAAGAAAGAGUUGAUAGCUUCUACCUUUCCGGAGGAUGUUGCCGAGAAGAUUAUUAUCAUUCCGUUGGUAGAAGAACCUCAUGAAGAUUUUUGGGUCUGGAGUGCUGAGGCGUCAGGCAAAUACACAAUACGUAGUGCCUAUAAACUAUUACAAAGUAUUGAAGAUGGUCCUAGAUCUUACGCUUUACAAGCCGACUAUAAGGAAUUCUACAAAAAAAUUAUGGCUACUGAACCUUCCUUCAAAAAUAAAAAUUACAAUCUGGAAGAUAUCAUGGAAUUUCCUAUCUACAUGAGUUAAUAUGCUACUAAGAAAGUUAACAAACACAACAAUAUGCCCCCGUUGUGGAGUAGGAAUAGAGAACAUGGACCAUCUCUUCCGUGAAUGUCUUGUUUCAAUUUCAGUUUGGAGAGAAUUAUCAUGCCAAGCAUUUUUGCAAGAAAAUCAUUUGGAGUUUGUACAGUGGCUAACCUGGGUAUUUUCGAAGAACUCAACAUCACAGUGUAGGAUAUUUUGCUGUGCAUUAUGGGCAAUCUGGGGAGAUAGGAAUGACAAAGUGCACAAAAAAGUGAGUAGAUCUGGAAAAGUAAUAGGGAGAUUUGUUAAUUUUUAUGUAUCAGAGUUGAAUGAGAUUGAUAAAAACAAACCACAAACUUCUAUAACUAUUAACAAGUGGGGGAAGCCACCUGAUCAAGUCGUGAAGAUUAAUUUUGAUGCAGCAUACGACGAAAAGUUUAAUCAAGCGGCUGUAGGGAUUGUGGCCAGAGAGAGUGAGGGCAAGGUUCUUUUAUCAUGCUCGGAGAUCUAUCAACGGGUUGCAUCAGCCUUUGCGGCUGAGGCACUCGUGUGCCGGAGAGCGAUCCAAAUCGGCAUAGACAUGCAUUGGGAAAAAGUCAUUAUUGAAGGAGACUCUUUAUCAAUAAUAAAAAAAAUGUAAGACAAGAAUCCCAUAUAAAUCGAAGGUAUGUGCCUACAUUCACGAUAUUCAUAAGCUACUAUUAAAAUAUAAUGAGUGCAUAUUUUAAUAUAUCCCAAGAGCAGGAAACAGUCUUGCACAUACUUUAGCAAAAGAAACAAUGAAGAAUAAAAUAGUAGUUUACCUGGUUGGAGGUGUCCCCGAAUAUGCAGAAGAACAAGAGGAAAGGGAUAGAGUGAGACAGCCAGAUUGAACAGGAAAGGGAGAAGAUGAAAUGUGGGGAGUCUGAAUGAGGGCUGGUAAUGGAAUGGAUGAAAUUAAAGUCCCCUCGGAAGUGUGAAUGCGUCUUGUUGAAGAAAUGGCAGAUGAAGUGACAAGACGGUGAAGAGUCAUCUUGCUGAUUAGGCAAAAAUAACAGCAACAUUAAUGGGAUACCAGAGACUUCUAACUUUAUUUUUGUUCUGUU
rnacentral:lncRNA from 1 species